UACGUAGGUGGCAAGCGUUGUCCGGAAUUAUUGGGCGUAAAGCGCACGUAGGCGGCUUAGCAAGUUGGAUGUGAAAGCCCUCGGCUUAACCAAGGAAGUGCAUCCAAAACUGCUGAGCUUGAGUAGUUAAGAGGAUCGCGGAAUUCCCGGUGUAGAGGUGAAAUUCGUAGAUAUCGGGAGGAACACCAGUGGCGAAGGCGGCGAUCUGGGAACAUACUGACGCUGAGGUGCGAAAGCGUGGGGAGCAAACAGG
rnacentral:rRNA from 1 species